GGACUACUGGGGUAUCUAAUCCUGUUUGCUACCCACGCUUUCGCAUCUGAGCGUCAGUCUUCGUCCAGAAAGUCGCUUUCGCCACCGGUGUUCCUCCCAAUAUCUACGAAUUCCACCUCUACACUGGGAAUUCCACUUUCCUCUCCGAGACUCAAGCCAGGCAGUUUCAAAUGCACUUCCGGGGUUAAGCCCCGGGCUUUCACAUCUGACACACCCAACCGCCUACAUGCGCUUUACACCCAAUGAUUCCGAAUAACGCUUGCACCCCCCGUAUUACCGCGGCUGCUGGCAC
rnacentral:rRNA from 1 species